GGUUUUAUAUUCAUAAAAUGAUAUUAGAAUGCAAUUCUAAAGGUGUAAAUUUUAAGUACUAAGACUU
rnacentral:tRNA from 1 species